rnacentral:rRNA from 1 species
UAAUACAGAGGGUGCGAGCGUUAAUCGGAAUUACUGGGCGUAAAGGGCGCGUAGGCGGUUAUAUGAGUGUGAUGUGAAAGCCCCGGGCUUAACCUGGGAAGUGCAUCGCAAACGAUAUAACUGGAGUAUAUGAGAGGGUGGCGGAAUUUCCGGUGUAGCGGUGAAAUGCGUAGAGAUCGGAAGGAACGUCGAUGGCGAAGGCAGCCACCUGGCAUAAUACUGACGCUGAGGCGCGAAAGCGUGGGGAGCGAACAGGAUUAGAUACCCUGGUAGUCCACGCUGUAAACGAUGAGGACUAGAUGUUGGUAGGGGAACCUAUCAGUAUCGAAGCUAACGCGAUAAGUCUUCCGCCUGGGAAGUACGGCCGCAAGGUUG